rnacentral:lncRNA from 1 species
GAGGAACUUGUCCAGGGUCACCUGUUUGGACCAAACAGGACCAAUCCAAUCUCUCUUACAGAGGACAGCCAGCAAACUCUUGAAGGCGGUGAUCAUGCCUCCCUAGACCCUUCUCUUCGCAAGAAAUGCAUGUGGCAUGUCUACAGGGUUCAGUGUGAGAACUGAAGAAUAGUGAAGAGUGAAUAAUGUGUGAUGUGCCAAGUCCUUGACAAGAAUGAUCUCAUUUGCUCUUCACAAUCACUCUGGGAGCAUUGUGACUGCCAACAUGCUUGUGUGAAUUAAGUGAAUGAAGACUGAGGCAACGUUUUUUUGGCCAAUGUUUCUUAUCCACUGAAAACCUGGAGCACAACUUUUCAUGCUGAGUGAGUUAUACAUUAUAAAUACUAGCUAGAGAAGCAGUUUCUGAGACAUAAUGCUUAAAAUAUUCUGCUUGAGUGUGGCCUUUGGGGAAUGAAUAUCCUUCUCUUUCAACAAUAUCAUUAGAAUGAAAAUAUUUCCAAAUCUCAAAUUAUAAU